rnacentral:rRNA from 1 species
AGUGAACGCUGGCGGCGUGCUUAACACAUGCAAGUCGAACGAGAACGGGUUAUAGCUCGCUAUAAUUGUCAGCUAAGUGGCGCACGGGUGAGUAAUGUAUAGGUAAUAUGCCUCUUACUAAGGGAUAACAAAUGGAAACGUUUGCUAAUACCUUAUACUCCUUAUUAACAGAAGUUAAUAAGGUAAAGAUUUAUUGGUAAGAGAUUAGCCUGUAUUGUAUCAGUUAGUUGGUGGGGUAAUGGCUUACCAAGACUAUGACACAUAACUGGUUUGAGAGGAUGAUCAGUCACACUGGUACUGAGACACGGUCCAGACUCCUACGGGAGGCAGCAGUGGGGAAUAUUGCACAAUGGACGAAAGUCUGAUGCAGCAACGCCGCGUGGAGGAUGACACAUUUCGGUGCGUAAACUCCUUUUAUAUGAGAAGAUAAUGACGGUAUUAUAUGAAUAAGCACCGGCUAACUCCGUGCCAGCAGCCGCCGUAA